UAAAAUCUUGUGGACCAGCCAAAUCUAAUGAGGAAGUGUUCUUCAACUCAUCUGAAAGCUGCAAUGCACUCUGAAAAUCUCCUGACUUCUUCAGACAAUCGAUUAAAGCUCGGUAGACAUAAACCGAUGGUCGAAUCUGUCUCUGCUUCAUCUCAUCGAAAAGCCUCAACGAUUCCUUAACGUUCCCAGAUCGACCCAAACUGUCUAUCACCGCUGUAUAACUUAGCAAAUCUGGUUCAAUUCCACAUUGAACCAUUUCAUUGUAUAUCACCAAACACAUAUCGAAUCUACAAGCUUUCCUCAUCCCGUUUAACACCGUGUUGUAAGUAAUGAUGUUUACAGAUACACUACAAUCUUCCUUCAUCGUUGACAAAACCCCCAGAAUCUCAUUCACAAGGCCAGCUCGUCCCAAGAUAUCCAAAACCGAGUUAUAUGUGAUCACAUCUGGUUUACAUUCCCACUCUUUCAUCUCCUUAAGUAUCAUAAGAACCUUAUCGAUCUGUCUAGUUUCAGCAAAUGCAAAGAUGAUUCUGUUCAUUACUAUUAACCUAUACGGAAGUGAAGACUCUGAUAUCUCUUUAAGCAGACUCGUCAAAUACGUGCAAUCAUCCGUGUUAAUGAAUGCUCUAGCAAGGUUGAGAUAACAAUCUGAACUCAAUGGUUCCUUACCCGGCAAGAUCAAGACCUCUCUGAAGACUCUACAAGAAAGCUUCAUAUCGUUCAG